rnacentral:rRNA from 1 species
UACGUAGGGGGCAAGCGUUGUCCGGAAUUAUUGGGCGUAAAGCGCGCGCAGGCGGCUGUGUAAGUCCGGUGUUUAAGGCUAGGGCUCAACCCUGGUUCGCACCGGAAACUGGACGGCUGGAGUGCAGGAGAGGGAAGUGGAAUUCCACGUGUAGCGGUGAAAUGCGUAGAGAUGUGGAGGAACACCAGUGGCGAAGGCGACUUCCUGGCCUGUAACUGACGCUGAGGCGCGAAAGCGUGGGGAGCAAACAGG